rnacentral:rRNA from 1 species
UACGUAGGGACCAAGCGUUGUCCGGAAUCAUUGGGCGUAAAGCGCGCGUAGGCGGCCCGGUAAGUCCGUUGUAAAAGUCGAAGGCUCAACCUUCGAAAGCCGAUGGAUACUGCCGGGCUAGAGUACGGAAGAGGCGAGUAGAAUUCCUGGUGUAGCGGUGGAAUGCGCAGAUAUCAGGAGGAAUACCCAUAGCGAAGGCAGCUCGCUGGGACGUUACUGACGCUGAGGCGCGAAAGCGUGGGGAGCGAACGGG